UGUGUGCUUCCUCGGCUGCUGUGCUGAGUCCAGGUUGCUCUUAAGCUUCUGCCACUGCCUUGCGUUCCAGCUGCUUCCUUCUCAUGGGCCUGGCGGCCAUCCGGAGACCCUCUGCGCAGCCCCUCCUCAGCCUGAGGCCACCCCAAUCCCGUGGCUUCUGUCCCCUCACUAUGACCCUGGGUUGUUACCAUGCUCUGCAAAGCUCCUCCUGUCCAGCUUCUGCCUGGACAGCUCAGUGUCCGAGUUCUCUUCAAAGGCAGGGAGUGAGCUGGGCUCUCCAUAGAAGGGCCUGCAGCCCAGAAGCCGCUGCCCGGGCAUGCCUGGCCUUCCCCGGGUCACCAGGAAAUGGAGCCACAGUGGCUGCAAGCAGAGCUCUCGCUGCUCAGGCGGCCACUGCGGAGCUGUCAGGGCUGAGCCAGAGGAGAGCCCCCAACUCAGGCAGCCGCAGACCGGGGCCAGGAAGGGUGGAAACAAAGCACUCCUGCCACCUCCCCCGCGGCGGGCGCCCCUGGUGACCAUGGCACUUUCCACUGAGCUUGGCUGCCUGCAGCCCCAACCAGUGCAUCGGCCACCUAGAGUGUCGUCUGGCAGUUCCUGGGCCCGAGAUGGCUUCUGUGACCACCCCGCUCCCUACGUUUCCCUCCCUGACGCUGCUCUCCCAGGCAGCAGUGGGGAUCAGGCCAAGGAUGCUGGUGAGACGUCUAGCUCUCGCUAGUCCCCACGAGCAUGGCUGAGUCUCCUGCCUCCAGCUGGGCCCAACUGCCCCUGUCCCUGGAGGCCCCUUUCCAUCCAUCCUGUAAGACUCUGACGUUAGCUUCAGAAGCCACCAGGAGGUCCCCUGCACACUGUGGCCUCUGCACCCCAGAUCAUGGCCCCUGUUUGUCCACAAGCAUUUUUUUUCCCCUGUUCUGGCCACCUGUUGGAGCUCUUCAUAGGUGUGAGCGUCUGCAUCGAGUUCCCUGUCAUUCUCCAGAGCUGUUUGUCGUAGGUCCUGCUGUUGGAGGGCGCCCACUAGGACUCUGAGAGGUGAGACAGUUGGCAUCACAUGAAUGGUGAGUCAGGGCUGGAGCAGGACUUGAGCCCUGAGUGUGCCGCCUGCCUGCAGGCGCCUCUGGGGAACUGGCCACGGGCAUCCUCACGUCUGCGCCCCUGGCACAGAGCACAGGCUUGGCCAGCAGCCGCCCAGAAGCGGCGGGGAAUUGCUGAGCUGGAACCUGAGCAACCUCCAGGGCAGCCCCUUGCUCCAGUGUUGCGGUUGGAUCCACAGCCUAGGGGAUAGCAGCCAGCGGCUGCAGGAGGCCCCCGCUUACCCACUAAGGGUGAUCUUGCUGUGAACAUUCUCUCCUUCUCUCUCUUUCUCUCCCACUGGGCACCCCGUACUCCAGGCCCUUUAAGGCGCAGACUCCCAACCCUUCUUUCCCACGCACCUCCAGCAUGGGGGCGCUGCCGAAUGCAAGGCAGGCAUCCGGCUGCCGACAGCUUGUCUUCUCUUCAGGGUGUUGCUGGGGCCUAGCCACUGGGGUGCAGGGCAGGGCUCCAGUCCUGGCUCUGGGAAAGGCCGAGCUCAUUAAUCCACUGUGGGCUCCGUCACUGCUGCAGGAGGAACAGUACAGUACAUUCUCUCCUGUCUUAAAAGAAGUUGCUACAGAUGGGAAAUCCCAGAGCACAGGCCUGAGGAUUUCUGCCAGCCUUGAGGGUUGGGUCUGGCUAAGCAAGUGCCCAGGACGGAGUCCGUCCGUCCAGGCAUCAGCAGUCAUUCGUUCCUGUGCCAGGCUGGGGGAUAGAGCAGCAUCCCACCCUUGAUGGGGCAGGCUGAGUCUAGUGGGGCAGGCCCUACACCAACAACCCACAGGAUACACGUUGGCCAAGGCCUGCUGCACACAGGAAGUGCAGGGCGGCCGCUGACCCUUGUCCACUCUGCAAGCUGGAGGAUUAGCCCAUUUCACAGUUGAGGAGGCCAGGCCCCAGGGAGCACCUGCCAAAAAUUAAAGGGACCCAGCCUGAGAGGGAACACAGGAGCCUGGCCCCGAGGCUCCCCAACCCCUGUGCCUCUAGCUGUCAUCUGUAUUCCUUUCAGCAACUCAGGGUGCCUUGGGGGACACCCCCAGGUAGGUAGCGUGGCUGUUUAGUUCCAGGUAGCAGUGAGGCCUUGCCCUGAAGGGACCACAUGUCAGCAUGUGGCGUGCUGGGAUGGGGCCAAGACCGGGCAGCCAGGCCCCAGAGGUUCGGGUUUGCAGUCUUAGAGCAUCUCAGGAUGGUUAGGGCCCCUGUGACCCCAGCUUCUCACUUGUGAGGAGCUUGAAGGGAUUUGGGGGCCUUCUCAGUCACCGAACCCAGCCUCUGUAUCUGGAAACAACUUGAGCACGUGGGGAGGGCAGAAUUCCUGCAAAGCAGCCUUCAGAGAACAGACGGCCCAGCACUGUGUGGGAUGGAGAGGUGUACCCCACUUAAAGGGGACAGCCGUGGAGCCUCAGUGCUGGCUUCAGUGUUUAAUUGAAAUGUAACUAAGGUUACUUAAUACACACAAGCAUACAACUAGAAAGCCCCUUAUGUUCUUGUUCUUACACAACUAAAACUAACAUGUACAGCUUAAAUACAACCAAAGCCAAAAACCGCGGACAGCGUCACCAUUAAUCACUGCUUUGCUGAGGCUCCUUGCCUUGUGGAGUGGAUGAACACGCAGGGUUGCUAGAGUGCUCUGCCUGCCUGUGCCCGCCUGUGCAAGAGGGCUCACCUUUUCCUUUAAGGGCCUCGGAGUGGUAUGUGAGAGGGAACUUAUUCUAUUAGGGGAAUUGGCUCACUUGGUGAUAGAGGCUGAGAAGUCCCAUGAUAGACUGUAAGCUGCAGAACCAGGAGAGCUGGGGACAGACCUCAGCCCAAGGACAAAGAGCCAAGAGCCUGGGGUGGGGGUGGGGUGGUGGGCAGCAAGUCCCAGAGGCCAGAGAACCUCGAGCUCUGAUGCCCGAUGGCAGGAAAAGAGCAACCUAGCUCCAGAAGAAAGAAACCUGAGUCCCCAUUUCCUUAGCUUUUUAUUCCACCAGGGCCCCCGCCCAUCCGAUGGUGCUCACCUGCAACCAUGGCUCUCACGCCGGUCACCUCUGGAAGCACAGACUCACUGGGGCGGCCCGGCCAUUCGAAUCAAGUACCAAGCCGCCUGGGUUUCCCUUCCAGCACUGAGAAUACGUAAUGUGUCCCCGGGCGUCUGGGUAUCCCCGAAUCCAAUCAAGUUGACACCUGAGUCACCUGCCACUCAGUGGGGAAAGCAGGCCUGGGGUGCCUGAAUCACCAGACUGCGCUGCCGGUGAAUGGUGGAUCCGGCGUUCUCACGCCCAAGCCUCAUGGGCAGCUGUGUCAUUGUCAUUUUGUUCCAGAUCAGGUCAGAACAGAACAAUGUGGCCACUGAUUGAUUUUCUCUUCCUCUCCUCCCUCCACAGACCGCGGCCUUCAGUGUCACAGCGUGGCCUUGCUUGUCUGCCACAGCGGGAGCUAAGCCGGCCCUGGGCCAGCACUCCGAGAGGUGGAAGGGGCCCUGCCAGCUCUGGGGAGCAGCAGCCUUGGGCUGUUCUGAGCUUUAGGCAAGAGAAGAGAAGCAUCUCUUGCAUCUGUGCCCCUGGGGGCCUCUUCAGCUUUGCAGUGGUUUGUGGGAAGACAUACCUCCCAGAGGGGCAUGGACUGCCACCAGGACUGACCCUGGCGUCGGGGAGAAGGACACUUGCAGAGCCUUGAGAUCACCUGUUUGGCAGGUCCUGGACUGGGGCCGGGCAGGCAGGGGCAGGGAGGCGCCCCGGGUGGGCUUUGGGGCUGCGGCACUGCCACACAUCCUUUCCCUCCUGGCCCGCCCUGCUGGGGCUCUACUGCCAUCUAUAGAUGGUGUCCCGGGCCUGGGAAACCAGGUUCCCAGGGGUUGAGACCAGAAAGGUGACCAGGACAGAUUUUUUAAGGUGCAGAAACUGCAGGGGGGCCUCAGUGACAUCCAGGAGGCCUUAUUAGCAAAGGACACCCAGACCUCCAAGGUUUGUGGGCCCCUUCCACAAAGCCGUAAGUCCCAGCCCCCCUACUCAGGGCCUUGCUCAGUGCUGUGGCCCGGUGGGGACACAGUUGCUCGUGGCCACUCAGUGGAGCUGGGCCUGCAGCAGACUCAAGGCUCCGAGUGCCCUGGGGGUCACCCCUCCCCUCCCCUCCUCAGAGCCCACCCUGAGAGGCAGCAGUGACCCCCAUGGCACACACCUGCCAACAGCAUUGGGGGCUCCUCCCCAGGAGACCACGCUGCCCUCCAAGACCAGGAGCAGCUAUGAGCUGGAGACAGCAGAGGGACCCCAGGGUGUCCCCUGCAGAUCCCACCAGGGCCGCAUCCAUCUCAGUGUGGAGGACAGUGACGGGACCCUCACCAUCCUCUUGCGUUUUGGCCCCCAUUUGCUCCCUGAGCUCCAAGAUAAGAAUGGCCCCGAGAGAACUGCUGAACAUUUGUUCAUUGCUGUCACCUCCUGAGUCACUGGGGUCCCUCUUCAGCACCUCCCUGACACCUGGGCUAUGGAGAGGUUGGCACCUGUCAGUGACCAUCCUAAUGCCUCUCGCUCACUCCCAAGCCGCCAUUUGAGAGGGAGGGGUGUUGGUGCCCUGAUGGGGACUGGGCAGGGUGUCCAAACUUGGGGCUUCCCAGGCACCUGCAGUGUGAACACUGCUUGGCUGGCUCAAGAUUAGGGCCGCGGAGGGGGCUGUGCACAUACCAGUUACUUAAGCAGCCCCGAGUGUCCCCCAUGCCUUGGUGCGGGUCCUGGAGGCCUCUUGGGGGUGGGACCUUUGGGCAGGGUUUGCCCACUGACACGCCCGCCAUGGGGCACUGGCUGCAUGGGGCUCCUUGGACCCUGUAGACCCAGCAGACCCCGCCUGUGUCAGGCCAGCUGCCCGAAGGCACUUGGCUGUGGUCCCAGGGGACGGCUCUGCUGGCACACUCAGGAGCCUGGCCGCGGGGACUGCAGGGAGGGCGCCUGGACCCGUGGGGUUGCUUCAUUGAGAUAAAGCACACUUAUCACAUAGCACAAAGGACGUGCCAUGGUGCUUUCCCCAAAAGUUGUGUUGCUUUUAUCAGUUUUCUAACUUAAUAAAAAGAGUUGAG
rnacentral:sRNA from 1 species